rnacentral:sRNA from 1 species
CAGAGGGAAAGAGGUCGGCAGGGCGAGGAGCUGCUAUGGUGCUGAGUUUCCUGGUAGAGCCGGCCGAGCCGAGGCGGUCGCGGCCAUGAAGGCGGGUGCCACGUCUAUGUGGGCUUCGUGCUGUGGGCUGCUGAAUGAAGUCAUGGGAACUGGAGCUGUCAGGGGCCAGCAGUCAGGAUUUGCAGGAGCCACCGGUCCAUUCAGAUUUACACCAAACCCUGAGUUUUCCACCUACCCACCAGCAGCUACGGAAGGGCCCAACAUAGUUUGUAAAGCCUGUGGACUUUCGUUUUCAGUCUUUAGAAAGAAGGUGAGUUGGAUGAAAUGUUACAUAACAAGACACAUGGGUCAGAAUUCUUGAUUGUAGGUUAUUUUGAAUAGCCAGUGAAUUUUCAUGUCUGUUUAUAAAAAUAUCAAAAGCUUAGUUCCAUUAGCCAUUUUCCAUCUAGAAAAAUACUUAAUUGGAGGGAUUAUAUUACUGCUCAAGUUGUAUAGACAUUGUUUCUUAUGUUCAGACAUCCUUUCUCCUGAACUUUGACCUG